rfam:Triticum aestivum genome assembly, contig: Triticum_aestivum_CS42_TGACv1_scaffold_132168_2BL
UAAGUACUUCCACCGUCCCAAAAUUCUUGUCUUAGAUUUGUUUAGAUACGGAUGUAUCUAGUUACGUUUUAGUAUUAGAUACAUCCGUAUCUAGACAAAUAUAAGACAAGAAUUUUGGGGCGGAGGGACUAUGAA